rnacentral:rRNA from 1 species
GAUGAACGCUGGCGGCGUGCUUAACACAUGCAAGUCGAACGGAAAGGCUCCUGCUUGCAGGGGUACUCGAGUGGCGAACGGGUGAGUAACACGUGGGUGAUCUGCCCUGCACUUCGGGAUAAGCCUGGGAAACUGGGUCUAAUACCGGAUAGGACGAUGGUUUGGAUGCCAUUGUGGAAAGUUUUUUCGGUGUGGGAUGAGCUCGCGGCCUAUCAGCUUGUUGGUGGGGUAAUGGCCUACCAAGGCGUCGACGGGUAGCCGGCCUGAGAGGGUGUACGGCCACAUUGGGACUGAGAUACGGCCCAGACUCCUACGGGAGGCAGCAGUGGGGAAUAUUGCACAAUGGGCGCAAGCCUGAUGCAGCGACGCCGCGUGGGGGAUGACGGCCUUCGGGUUGUAAACUCCUUUCGCUAGGGACGAAGCGCAAGUGACGGUACCUGGAGAAGAAGAACCGGCUAACUACGUG